rnacentral:rRNA from 1 species
AUUGAACGCUGGCGGCAUGCCUUACACAUGCAAGUCGAACGGUAACAGGUUAAGCUGACGAGUGGCGAACGGGUGAGUAAUAUAUCGGAACGUGCCCAGUCGUGGGGGAUAACGUAGCGAAAGCUACGCUAAUACCGCAUACGAUCUACGGAUGAAAGCGGGGGGUCGCAAGACCUCGCGCGAUUGGAGCGGCCGAUAUCAGAUUAGGUUGUUGGUGAGGUAAAAGCUCACCAAGCCUGCGAUCUGUAGCUGGUCUGAGAGGACGACCAGCCAAACUGGAACUGGGACACGGUCCAGACUCCUACGGGAGGCAGCAGUGGGGAAUUUUGGACAAUGGACGCAAGUCUGAUCCAGCAAUGCCGCGUGCAGGACGAAGGCCUUCGGGUUGUAAACUGCUUUUGUACGGAACGAAACGGUGAGCUCUAAUACAGUUUGCUAAUGACGGUACCGUAAGAAUAAGCACCGGCUAACUACGUGCCAGCCGCCGCCGUAA